rnacentral:rRNA from 1 species
UACGAAGGGUGCAAGCGUUAUCCGGAUUCACUGGGUUUAAAGGGUGCGUAGGCGGGCAGGUAAGUCAGUGGUGAAAUCUCCGAGCUUAACUCGGAAACUGCCAUUGAUACUAUUUGUCUUGAAUAUUGUGGAGGUAAGCGGAAUAUGUCAUGUAGCGGUGAAAUGCUUAGAUAUGACAUAGAACACCAAUUGCGAAGGCAGCUUACUACACAAUGAUUGACGCUGAGGCACGAAAGCGUGGGGAUCAAACAGG